AGGGAAGGCCUAGUUUCAUUGUGUUCCUUUUCCCAUCAGAGCAGGCAGGAGCAGGGAGGCAUGGAGGAGGGGUUGCUUAGCCAAUGGCUAGAGCAGGCCAGAGGUUUGCUUUUCUCUCUAGAACUGCCUCCCCGCUCUGACUAUCUCUCUGGUGUGCCACCUUAAAGCAUUUGAUUCUGUUAUUUAGAGUUGCCCUCAGAAUUUGGCUAGAGAAGGGGAACAAAAAGAGAGGGAAGCAUGUCCAUGGAGACGAAAGUAGAGGGAUGAAAUUAUCAUCAGGAAGUUUCAUGGAACCCUGGAGCUCAGUCUUCAGCUUCUCCUGCCCAAAGGCAUGGAGCUCCUCUGACAAAUGCAAAUGGUGCAUCUCUGUCCCUUACUUGCUUCUUUGGGUCUUGAUUCCUGCAGCUGAUGGUGUCGAGCUGGGUAUAAACCACAUAAAUUGUGCUAAUUUCAAAGUCACUUGUGUCUAAAGCCCAAAGCAAUUCUGAGCAACUUCUUGACACACCAUGUGGAUAAAGCAGCUCUCUAUAUAUGGUCAAAUCAUGGUUGCCUAUUUGUCUCCCUGUCACCCUGGCAUUUUGAAAUCUUAAAAGUGGGUGCAGCAGCCUGACCAGCGCACGAGUAGCUAUCAUGAAGGUGGACGCACCAUCCCUACACUUCAGCGGAGCGACUCCCCCCCAAUCUAUGGACCUUUAAAGAUACUUCAGGGUUUUUUGGGACUCAUGCUCUUUGGCUUCUUUGGUUAGAGUAUUUGGAACUUGGUCUUCUUUACACAGACUAUCUGGACAAGCUGGAGAAAUUGCUUACCCAGCUCCUCUUGGCUAUGGGUAACUGAAUUUUUUUUUUAAUUGAGAUAAGAUUCACAUAACAUGAAGUUCACCAUUUUAACUGUGCAUAAUGCAUUGGCUUUUAGGUUGAAAGUGUAUAAUUCAGCGGUUUUAUUAAAUCUAAAUGUUGAGCAACCAUCACUACAACCUAAUUCCAGAACAUUGUCAUUGCCUCCAAAAGAAAUCUUGCACCCGUUCAGUAGUCAUUCCUCAUUCUCUGCUCUCCCCAGUCCCUGGCACCCAUGGACAUCCCUACUUUGUAUAUGGCAUAUAAAUGGAAUCAAACAAUA